GCUGCUUUAGCUCAGUUGGUACGAGCGUCCGACUGAAGAUCGGGAGGUCACCUGUUCGACCCAGGUAAGCAGCA
rnacentral:tRNA from 2 species